AUAACUUACGUCAAUAUAAUUCCGGGUGCGGCAAAGUCCGUGAAGUUGGGUUCCUUGGGUCCAUAAAUCGGCGUACGGAACUGAAGAAGAAUAAUGACAUUCAAAUUCCACGGGAUAUUGUCAAGAUACCGAGUGGAUAAUGCUCACCCGAAAUUUCGCCACAUCCAUAGAAAGUUCUUCCAUAUCAGAGCUUUCAUAUGGCAAGGAUCCAGCAUCUUGAAUGACGACUUCGACCCCUUUUCCUCGGGUGGCAGAUCGGGAACCUUAAAUGUUGUAAACGCUUGUCAGGAGGAACGCCGAUGACGCUACUGAGGAUGCUGCUCCUUCUUCUCAGUCCCAUGUUCUGCCUGCGGCUUAACUUGAGGAAAACCUCCUCGAGGGUGUCGAGCCUGUGCAUGGCCAUUAGUCUGGUGGGCGAUUCUUCGGCGAGGAACUUCCCCCCCCUCAUUAAACCGAUGAUGCUGGCCUGCCUCGUCUCCUCUAUAUAGUGAGUAGUUAUUAUCACAGUUCUGUUCCCGUCUUUAGUUAUGUGCACCAGGUGGUCCCAGAUGCUCUGCCGCAGCACCGGGUCCACACCGACCGUCGGCUCGUCCAGGAUCAGCAACUCUGGAUCUGGAAGAAGCGCCGCUGCGAACGAGACUCGCCUCUGCUGGCCUCCCGACAAGCUCUUUACGAAACGAUCUUCUCCCGGUAGCUGGAGCAGCUGAAAUAUCGUUUGAGAAUGAGAUAUAAUCGGUUUAUUGAGGUUUUUUAGGGGGAAGAUGGACCGACGAAUGGACACUCACCUUGAUCAGGAAUUCGAGCUUCUCGUCAACCUGCUGAGUCGUCAUGCCUGCGCACCAGCCGAAGAAGAUGAACGUUUCCCGUAUUGAGAAUUCGCCGUACAGUGCUAGCUCCUGCGGCAUGUAUCCUACCCGAGGGCCCGGAACUCCGGAUCCCUUGGAGCCAGGACGACCGCCCAGCACCCAUAUUUCACCGGAGUUUAACCGUCGUCUGCCGACGAUGCAGGAAAGCAACGUCGUCUUUCCACAUCCGCUCGCGCCGAGCAAUCCAUAGCUGUUUAGAACAUAAGUGAAGAUUAAUACAACUGUACAAAGCGAUGAACAUAAGAGGCAAUGCUUCGGCAAAGUGACUUUCGCAGACUUUUCUGCAAGCAAUCCAACCCGAAGUUGCCUAAUUUUGGAUCGCCGGCUCUUCACACAAAUACCUGAUCAACU